rnacentral:pre_miRNA from 1 species
AGUGGGAUAACUGGGUCAAAUGGUGGUUCCAAUUUGAGGAAUCUCCAUACUGCUUUCCAGAGUGGUUGUGCCAAUUUGCAGUCUCACCAAUAGU